GAUGAACGCUGGCGGCGUGCCUAAUACAUGCAAGUCGAGCGAACGGACGAGAAGCUUGCUUCUCUGAUGUUAGCGGCGGACGGGUGAGUAACACGUGGAUAACCUACAUAUAAGACUGGGAUAACUUCGGGAAACCGGAGCUAAUACCGGAUAAUAUUUUGAACCGCAUGGUUCACAAGUGAAAGACGGUCUUGCUGUCACUUAUAGAUGGAUCCGCGCUGCAUUAGCUAGUUGGUAAGGUAACGGCUUACCAAGGCAACGAUGCAUAGCCGACCUGAGAGGGUGAUCGGCCACACUGGAACUGAGACACGGUCCAGACUCCUACGGGAGGCAGCAGUAGGGAAUCUUCCGCAAUGGGCGAAAGCCUGACGGAGCAACGCCGCGUGAGUGAUGAAGGUCUUCGGAUCGUAAAACUCUGUUAUUAGGGAAGAACAUAUGUGUAAGUAACUGUGCACAUCUUGACGGUACCUAAUCAGAAAGCCACGGCUAACUACGUG
rnacentral:rRNA from 1 species